UACGAAGGGGGCUAGCGUUGCUCGGAAUCACUGGGCGUAAAGCGCACGUAGGCGGCUUUCUAAGUCAGGGGUGAAAUCCUGGAGCUCAACUCCAGAACUGCCUUUGAUACUGGAGAGCUUGAGUCCGGAAGAGGUGAGUGGAACUCCGAGUGUAGAGGUGAAAUUCGUAGAUAUUCGGAGGAACACCAGUGGCGAAGGCGGCUCACUGGUCCGGUACUGACGCUGAGGUGCGAAAGCGUGGGGAGC
rnacentral:rRNA from 1 species